GUUUUAAUAGUUUAAAAAAAAUAUUGGUCUUGUAAAUCAAUGAUGAAAAAUAAUUCUUAAAACU
rnacentral:tRNA from 1 species